GAGGAAUAUUGGUCAAUGGGCGCAAGCCUGAACCAGCCAUCCCGCGUGCAGGAAGACGGCGCUAUGCGUUGUAAACUGCUUUUCCAGGGAGAGAGACUUGCGCACGUGUUGCGCAAUUGACGGUACCCUGGGAAUAAGCAUCGGCUAACUCCGUGCCAGCAGCCGCGGUAAUACGGAGGAUGCGAGCGUUAUCCGGUUUCAUUGGGUUUAAAGGGUGCGUAGGCGGACUAUUAAGUCAGUGGUGAAAUCCUGCAGCUUAACUGCAGAACUGCCAUUGAUACUGAUAGCCUUGAGUUUGGUUAAGGUAGGCGGAAUGUGUAAUGUAGCGGUGAAAUGCUUAGAUAUUACACAGAACACCAAUUGCGUAGGCAGCUUACUGAGCCGACACUGACGCUGAGGCACGAAAGCGUGGGGAUCGAACAG
rnacentral:rRNA from 1 species